rnacentral:rRNA from 1 species
UUCGAAGCAACGCGAAGAACCUUACCAGGUCUUGACAUCCCUGACAACCCGAGAGAUCGGCGUUCCCCUUCGGGGGGACAGGGUGACAGGUGGUGCAUGGUUGUCGUCAGCUCGUGUCGUGAGAUGUUGGGUUAAGUCCCGCAACGAGCGCAACCCUCGACCUUAGUUGCCAGCAUUCAGUUGGGCACUCUAAGGUGACUGCCGGCUAAAAGUCGGAGGAAGGUGGGGAUGACGUCAAAUCAUCAUGCCCCUUAUGACCUGGGCUACACACGUGCUACAAUGGGCGGUACAAAGGGUCGCGAACCCGCGAGGGGGAGCCAAUCCCAAAAAGCCGCUCUCAGUUCGGAUUGCAGGCUGCAACUCGCCUGCAUGAAGCCGGAAUCGCUAGUAAUCGCGGAUCAGCAUGCCGCGGUGAAUACGUUCCCGGGCCUU